GUUUUGCUUUUCCAUUUCCCUAUUUAUUUGUCGUUCCCUUCACCAAUUCUUCACAAUUCAUCCACCACUAGGUCAAGGCCGCCGCCGAGAUCUUUGCCUGUGAUGCUGACUAUAUAUGUUUGACGAAAUGCUUCAGAGGGUUGCGAUUGGGUCCUUUUCCAGUUGGAAAGGACCUGAUUUUGGAUUUCCGGUUUCAGGCAGUUUUUUGAAGGGUUGGUGCGAGCCUGAUUUGGUAAAUCACCUUUACCACUCUUGUCAAAGGGUUUUUAUUGGUUGGAAAGAUCCUUGUGGCUGCAAAUCUCAUGGGGAAAUUGUUGGAAGAGGAACUGUGUGAGUCUAAUGAAUAUAAUGUGUUGAUUAAUGGGUUAUGCAAAGCUGUGUCUCGUGUAAAGAUGCAGCUGCAAACCUAAUGUUUAUGCUAUCAAUCCAUUCAUCCUCAGUGCAUUCACUGAAUCUUGGAGGAUAAGAAUGUGAUAUCUUGAAUGUUUAUACUAUUUAAGUUAGAGUUACUUUAUUUUCGUAUAACUCAUUCAAGUCAUUCAAGUUAGAGUUACUUUAUUUUCGUAGAUUCAUCUUGGAGGAUAAGAAUGUGAUAUCUUGAAUGUUUAUACUAUUUAAGUUAGAAUGUUUAUACUAUUUAAGUUAGAGAUACUUUAUUUUCGUAUAACUCAUUCAAGUCAUUCAAGUUAGAGUUACUUUAUUUUCGUAGAUCCUUUCAUCUUUAUGUUCUAUUUGUAUAUCUUAUUUAUGUAAAUCCUUUUGGAGAAUAUUCUUUUGAUGAUUUAAUGAAUAAGUUUUGUCUAA